AUUGAAGGACGAGGGAACCUUUACCAGCUGUUCACGAGACACACUGUGACCAAACGUGACUGUGUUGGAACGUCUUAAAUACACACAUUUGAGAGGGAGAGAUGGGACCGGGGUGUGUGUGAGUCCCUGUUUAACGUGUUGGCGCGUAAGCGAGUGUGCAUGGAUGUUGCUGACCUGUCAUCGGCGUGUGUGAGAACGCUGACAUGUGCAUCUGGCCCAGGAAGCGCUGUUGCGUCGCCGGUCUACCCUUUCCCCUUGCUGAUAUCUCUCACUUCCUGCUUCCCUCUCCUCCCUCUAGCCGCUUUGUCUCUAGCUCUCUCUCUCUCUCCAGCACUCCAACAGCGCGGUCAGUGAGAGACGAUCUGUCUGUCUGACCAGCCCUGACCACGACGAGGACACGCCGUCUUUUGUCCCCCUUGGCUGUCGUCCUCUCUCGUGCUUCCUUCCCCCCCGGGCGCUGUGUGACGACGACCACGCGACCGCGUCGGGAACACUUGACCGCCAUAAGGCGUGUCCACUGUCCGGGUCAGGGGUGCCACCCAGGGCUGUUGUCAUGGUGGAAUCUAACUGGACAUGCCCAUCGCCUGUCUCCUCCUUGGGGCUGAAGAGAGGAGGAGGUAGGAAGGGCGAGCGAGCGUGGCUGACGAAGGGACGAGUUUUUCCUGCGAUCACAAACGACCGGGGUCCAUUUUGAACGUCAACUGCUCCAGCGGAAAACUUCUGGAGGAAGAACAAAGUGUAGGUUUGUGAACAUGUGAAUUCAUUUGCCUUUUGAAGUGGUCCCAAACUUAUUUAUGAGCAAAAACCAUUACUGUCACUAGCUUGGAAUUGUUUAGCAUUUACUAAUGACAGCCAAAAAAGACACUAUUUGAAUAUUUGCAUGAAUAAACUGCUCUUACGGUAAUUAUCAACAAAGGGUAUUUCGUGUCGGAGGGCUGUUCUCUAAUAUUGUAUGACAGCAUGCAUAUAUAUGAAAAUUGAAUCGAAGUUUGUCGCUGUAUCCUUCAAUAAAAUAUAUCUUUAAAACUU